rnacentral:lncRNA from 1 species
AUAGUAUCAUUUCAUUCUUUUUUCUAUUUUUAUCUCCUCUAGUUUGACCCCAGUACGCGUAAUUCUUUGUGUACACUGAAACUCACUAGCAUGGCGUACAUAUUAUUUUAGUUUAAAGCUAUAUUAAUAAAAUCAUUCUACAUCAUGAUUGCAAAUUGUUUUUAGUUAUUUUACUACUUCGAAGAAUAUAUCAUUAAUGUUACGCGUCUUAAAGACUGAUCCAAUGACAAGGCAUAUAAUUAGUGGAGAAAAUUUUAUUAAUAUAAUAUCUAAGGUAAAAAUUCUUUUUUGAUUUUGAGAAUUAAUAACUUAAUCCAAGGACUAAUAGAAGUCCAGUAGUCCCUACUUAAUCCAAUGAAUUUUUAAGAUGUUAUUCAAUGAAUACUUAAACAACAAGGAAGGAAGACCUGCAAAGGUAACUACAUCCAGAGAUACAAAUAAAAGGAAGAAAUAAAGAAUGAAGAAUUUUGAUAGAAGCGUGUAUUCAGUAUUGUCUUUGUAAAUGGUCAGUGGGUGUAGUGUUAAUUAAUAUAUUGGCAGUUUAGUUCUCUAAUUUACUGAUUAAUAUGAUGAAUCUCCUGGUAUAUAGAACUGAAUCCACCCAUUGUUCCUCUGAAUAGAUAUAUUUUCAUUUGGAUCUCCUAGCAACACACCUCCAGCCUUGAAAUUGAUGUUCAGGGAUAUCGUCUUUUUAUGAAGAGGAUCUCAUCGCUAAUUAUGGAAACACAUUCAUUGUACAGAUGAAUUUUAGCAUCCAUGUCUGUGACAAUGACUUCUAUCAAUAACAUGAUUUGGAGUCCAUCCUCAGUUCUUUAAUUAAAACUCAGAGUGAUUCCUCCUACAGUCAAGCCCACUUCGUUUCCUAAUAUAACUAAUAUUUUAUUGAUGCAAGUUCUUUAGCGUCCUUGGUAAACAAAUUUAUCAUCUCUACUACACUGAUUUGAUAGUUAUUCUAUUUAUGAGACUAAAUUCGUUCUAUACAGACUAUUAAUUACUAUACAUCCUAGACACUUCAAGCCUUACUCUCAUGUUGGUUAAUACUAAUAAAUCAUCUAUGUCAUUGAAAAAUAUGAAUAUUAUUGCAAUUUCAAAACGUAGUGAGUCUGGAUUACUAAAUUGUUAAUCCCCAUAUUAAAAUGUUACCAUUAUCAAAACCUAGAAUCUCCACAUAAAUUAAUUAAUUACAUAUUUUAACUAUAUGUAUAAUAGUUUUCUUUUAAAUUUUAUUAUUAUAUCUUAUUAUUGUUCUAAUACUUCUUACAAAACAAAUAAGAUCCGUAAAAAUAUUCCACCCUUUCAACAUAAAUUUUUUAUUUCCUAUUUAUUCCCCAUUCAUUUUUUUUAAUCUUUUUGAAUCCUUCGAUUUAAUUUUGCGGCUGCAUCUCUUCUUAUUUAGGUAUAUUAUCAUUCACCUUGGAAACAAAAAUUUUGGCCGUACAAUUAAACACUUUACUUCCAAUAAGAUACAUGUAUUGGUAAAAAUGAUGAUCAUCUUCACUAUUGAUUCCAGAAUGUCAAACGCUAACAUUUUGAUAAAUAUUUUUUUUUCCUUGUUGGGAGGAAGUGAUAUCUUUUAAAAUUGACUUUUUUUUAUUUCCAAAAAUAUUUCAAAUGAAAGAGUGCAAAAUUUAAAAAAAAACAUAUCAGAUAGACGAGUAAACCCACCCCGAUAAAUUUGAUUGAAAUAAGUCUGCCAUUCUUCAUCACUUUUGUAUGUAAAUAAAUUUAAUUUUAAUAUUUUCCAUGAUAUGUUAAGAUAUUUUUAAAUACUUACACGACACUAUUUUACAUAGUAAAUUGCUUAUAUACCAUGAGCACAAAUAAAUAAAUGGUACAUUUUCAGUACGCUUUAAA